GACGAGGGAUCCUAGCGUUGUUCGGAAUCACUGGGCGUAAAGCGUUUGUAGGCGGCUCUAUAAGUCGGGUGUGAAAUCCCACGGCUCAACCGUGGAAGUGCAUUCGAAACUGCAGAGCUUGAAUAUGGUAGAGGAGAGUAGAAUUCCUGGUGUAGUGGUGGAAUACGUAGAUAUCAGGAGGAAUACCGGUGGCGAAGGCGGCUCUCUGGACCAAUAUUGACGCUGAGAAACGAAAGUGCGGGGAUCAAACAGG
rnacentral:rRNA from 1 species